UCGAACUAGUCGCAGCGCGUCUCUGCUCUCGUGGCUCGAAACGAAAGUCAAACGUCGCGGUUCACUUUUUGAAUGUAUGUGCGUUCGAUUGAAAGUGACGUCGUGGAGAGUGCAAGUGUCUUCUGGGAUAUGGAUUGGUGAAUUGAAACUAUAAGUAUGUGCGUGUUGUGCUUUUGAACAGGAAUACUCUUCGUGACUAUAAUUCCUGCUGAAUCCAGAAACAGUAGCAGUCUCUUUUUAAGCGAGCCUUAUUGACACGGAUCUAACAGAAUUCCUUAUAAUCCCGCACUUAACUCGCAAACCGUUUAUUCAGCUCUCGAUCAAUUAAACAUCCAGUGCAAAUAAAGUGUACCCGAACUACAUACACAGGACGUUUGUCCUCUGAACUCCUAAUAGAAAUUGAAUUGGAGAGGACAAACAAACAUCUCAAGUGUUCGUUAAUGUUUUCCGAUGCUCGUUAAUGUGCCUCGUAUCGAUUGCUAGUGUUCGCUGUAAAACUGUUAUGAAUAUUUCCGGAAACUGAUUCCUUGUUUUUGAAGAUAUCACUUCGCGGGUCAUCAUGGAGACAGAGGAACUCAUCAAGCUUGUUGAUGGAAUCUAUAAGAAUAUCCUGGAUAAGUUCAACCCGGGGGCCAGGCAAAUGAUCAACGCUGGCAAAGCCUACCUCAAAGCCUUGCACGGUG